GACGAACGCUGGCGGCGUGCCUAACACAUGCAAGUCAACUUGACUGAAGGAGCAAUCUGACAGUAGAGUGGCGCAAGGGUGCGUAACGCGUAAGUAACUUGCCCCAAGGUAAGGAAUAACGUCGAGAAAUCGGCGCUAAUACCUCAUAAUGCAGCGGAUCCGCAUGGAUAUGUUGUUAAAGGUUUACCGCCUUGGGAUAGGCUUGCGUCUGAUUAGCUAGUUGGUGUGGUAACGGCACACCAAGGCUACGAUCAGUAACUGGUCUGAGAGGAUGAUCAGUCACACUGGAACUGAGACACGGUCCAGACUCCUACGGGAGGCAGCAGUGAGGAAUAUUGGGCAAUGCUCGAAAGAGUGACCCAGCAACGCCGCGUGGAGGAUGAAGGUAUUCUAUAUCGUAAACUCCUGUGAGAGCAGACGAAAGACAGAUUAUUAAUCUGGAUGACUGUAUGCUCAG
rnacentral:rRNA from 1 species